UUAAAAACUAUAUGCACAAAAAAAAUCAUCUAAACUUUUGUUCAUUUAAACUUUCAAAAAUUUUAUAUUUAUGAAUAAAACUUUCAAAAUUUUAUAAUUGACCACUUAUAUUUAUAUUUCACUGAUUUAAAAUUUAUCAUUAUCACAUUUAAUUUACAAACAUCAAAUAUUAAAAAAAUUCAUAAUUAAAUUGAAUUUUAAUGACCAUUUUAUUUUAUAUUAUCAACAUAUGCCCUUCAUUAUUGCUUAAUCAUUUGAGUAAUAAUAGUGAUCACUUUAAAUUAUUAAAAUAUACAAAGAUGAUAAAUGCAAAUUGUGAAAAAUUUAGGUAGAAAAUAUAUAUAAAAGUUUGAAAAUUUAGCAGGUAAUGUACAACAUGCGAAAAUAUGGAUAAUUAUAAUAUAUUUACAUGCUAUUUGAAAGCGAAAAGUCGAAGGACGAGAAACUCGUGAGUUUCGCAAAUUCGACUUAUUACUCCCCACCACGUACCGAAGUCGAAAAGCUGAUCCCUAUACAAUUGUAAGCAGGAGUUUAGAUGAUUUCAUGUCGAUAACUUUCUCAGAGUCACGAGUUCAGCCUCCGAGAUCCACUUAAAU
rnacentral:lncRNA from 1 species